rnacentral:rRNA from 1 species
UACGUAGGGUGCAAGCGUUGUCCGGAAUUAUUGGGCGUAAAGAGCUCGUAGGCGGUUCGUCGCGUCGGCUGUGAAAACCUGAGGCUCAACCUCGGGCCUGCAGUCGAUACGGGCAGACUAGAGUUCGGUAGGGGAGACUGGAAUUCCUGGUGUAGCGGUGAAAUGCGCAGAUAUCAGGAGGAACACCGGUGGCGAAGGCGGGUCUCUGGGCCGAAACUGACGCUGAGGAGCGAAAGCGUGGGGAGCGAACAGG